UCCUCUGGGCGGCCCUGCUAGCCUUCACAGCUCCAGGGCGGGAGGUCCUCUGUUUAUCUCCAGGGUAGCAGUAAUCCCUACUGAGCUUUCAACUGGAGCCCUCUAGAGGAAAGGCUCUGAAAUUCAUUAGCUGCUUGUCUUGCAGGUAGAACAGGAGUACUUGUGGCACCUUAGAGACUUAACUUAUGCUCCAAUAAACGUUUUUGUGGGCUACAGCCCACUUCAUCAGAUGCCCAUGAAAGCUUAUGCUCAAAUAAAUGUGUUAGUCUCAAAGGUGCCACGAGUACUCCUGUUCUUUUUGCGGAUACAGACUAACAGCUGCUACUCUGAAACCUGUAUUACCCAAUAACUGCAAUUUUAAGGGAGAGGGGGAGGAGGCUUUAUUUAUUUAUUUUAUUUAACUAAAAUCUACACUUAAAACCUUGCAAAGUCAAACACUGGGAAAUUAAGCAUAACUAUGGCAUGUCCUGUCUGUAGAAUCUUAGUUCUGUAAAUUUGUGUAUAUGAACUAGAACAGUCCUUGUUACGAUUUUCCCUGCAUGGUUUUGUACCAAGGACCUUCAGCUUCAUCUCUUUCAUUUAAGCUUCUAGUAUAUAGUAGAAGUAGGCAGUUGUCCUCUGUGUGGAGGGAGAAUCAUUAGAAGGGGACACAGCCAACAUCCCAUGACUGCCAAAGUUUACCUGGUUACUUGGGUUCUUAUUCUUAGCUCAGGGAGCAGCAGCGUGUUGUCUAGUGGUGAGAGCAAUGGGUUUCAGCAUAUAGAUUUGGCACAUUCAUUUUAAAAGCAGUGUGAUACAGCAGAUGUGGCUCUGUCACAUUAGCAACCUUGUUUCUUCUCCCACCUCUGCCUGGAAUGACCUUGGGCACUCUCUCAGGUACUCCAUUUAUAAAAUUUAGGAAAUUAUAGUUAUCUGUUUCCUAGCAUACAGAUACAAGAUCUUAGUCAUUAAUAAUAGUUCUGAACUACACAAAAAUAUUAUUACCAGUUAGUAGAAAAACCUAAGAGCAGAACUCAAAUCUCAUCCUCUCCUGGAAACUCAUGCCUGGCUGUGCAGUUGGUAUAAGCGGUAUCUUGGCUUCUCCAGAAGGAAAUCUGUAUGGGCUCCUGCUUGGGUCUGUUUCAGUUAAGAGGCUGAAAUGUCACUUUGUAAAGAGCAGUAUUUAUUUAUUUAAGCCAAGCAAUAGUGUUCUUAGUGGCCAAAUGCAGCUUUCAAAGCCCACUGCUGAAUUUGGUUAGCGGGCACUCCUCGACAGUGUGUAUCAUUGUUUGAUCUGUGCUGUAGCUUGGAUUGUCUCGAAGACCUCAACAGUGCUGGUUGGCUGCACAGAGGCCUUGCCCAGUCGGGAGUCAGUUAAGAAGGGCCCACUGAUGAUAUGGCAGUGGAGUCUGGUGGCUGCCCCACCCCCAUGCUAGAGGGGGCUAGAGUAGGCCAGAGCAUCUGUGCAGGAUGGCAGCCAAUCAGGGAAGGGCCUACUGAGAGCCAAUCAGGGCUAGGCUCGGCCCUAUAUAAAGGUUGCCCAGGAGCAGUGCAAGGAGUCUAUCCCAGGCCUUCACAGGGUGAAGGUCUGUUUCCUGUGUGAGGAGACUAGUACCUGGGGCAGGGCAGGCUUGGGGGAGCUGAAGGGAACUCUAGCCUACUACCUGCCAGGCUGCAGGCCCUGAGGGAAGGGCCUAGCCAGUGCGAAGGGGAAGCAGCCUAGGGAGAGAGACGCACAAGGGGAGAGAAGGAGGGUAGGAUGGCUGCUGCCAAAGGUCCCUGGGUUGGGACCUAGUGUAGAGGGUGGGCCUGGGUUGUCCCCCCUGCCCCCUUGUAUAGACAUCCAGCCAUUGGACGUGGCUGUAGUGGACUGUACCAGACCCCUGAUACAAGGGGUUAAACUUUAGAGUGUGGUUGCCCAGUGUUGCUGGGGUGUUAAGAGACUGCUGUUAACCCCCCCACACACACACAGAAGGGGGUGAGGAUGGACUAAGAGGCACUACCAGAGGGCAAUGGCCUGAAGAAGGACACUGUUAAGCAGGAGCAAUAUGAGUCCAGACACCAGUGAGGAACAGAUGAUGGAUGGGAUACCACCAGCAGAGGGUACUUCCUGUGGACUGAGCUAAUUUCCAGAGCAACCAGUGGGAGGUGCUGCAGUGGUGAGUCCCAACCCCAUCACAGAUGGGCAAGCAAUAGGGUCAAUGAUGAGGAACUGGUUGGUGUUAAGCACCAGUCUUCCCUCUACAAAAGUAGUGUUGACCUGGGACCUACUCUUUCUCUUCCCCCCCACCCGCCACUGGAAAACAGUAAGCAAAGAAAAGCUGAGAGCAGGAACUCUGGGCAGGUGAUUGCUGCAGGAUUCCAGCUACUGGUGUGAAAGUGCAAGUGAAAAGGAGACUCCCCAGGCAGGAGUCCCCAUCAAUAUUUACUCCCCCCCCCCCCCCAAUGUGUGUGAAAUACCUGCCUAAGCACAAAUUUCAGCUGAUACAAAAAUUUUAAUUCAAAGCCUUCUUCUGAUUAAAGAAAUAGCUUCCCCCCCUCCUCCCCCCCCCCAUCAAUAGGUUUCAUAAGAAGCUUUUGGGGUUUCAAUAUAUUCUGUAGGGUUUUUUUUUUAGCCUGAAUAUUUUGAUAUUUGAAACAUAGAUGCCUUCCUCUUUUUUCCUUUUUGUCACUGAAUGUAGUAGAGUGAAUAAUAUUUAAAGGUUUUUUUCCCCCACUUUUUUCAUUUUUUCUUUAUUUCCCAUUUUCCCUUUUGCCACUCUGUAGUCUAUAACUUUUCAAAACUUCCUCAACUAUGGAAAAGCUACAGAAUUAAAAAACCCAAUAUUGGGCAUCAUAAAUUUUAUUCCCUCAGUGGCAAAGAGGGGGAAGGAAGGAGGCAUACACAAAUGUUUGUUUUCAAAAAAAUCAAAAAGGGAAGAAAAAUCCAUUUCAAACCCUGCAAAAUAGAAACACUUUAAAAUUGUGAUUUGUGUAUGUGCGUUUUUUUUCUCCCCUCCCAUUUUUUGACCAGCUCUAACAAGCUUCCUCUGGUUACUGUUGAGAAGUGUGUUUCUCUAGCAUUUAACAGGUUAAAAUAUAGAUUCCAAUUACAUUAUAAAACCAUACCUAAAGAAAAAACACAUUAGUAUAUAAAAAUUAUCCAGGUGUCAGAUAAAUAUUAUGCUACAGUGUGUGCUUCCAAUACCAUUCCCUCAAUAUUUAACUCUCAUCAGUUUUCUUAAUUACAUAAAAAUGUGCUUCCUAAUUACACAAAAGGCACUUUACAGCUGCCUAAACACUACUAGCCAUAGCAUGGUGCUCAUUUAUAGCAUAAAUUAUUCUGGUACAUUGACUACCAGCAAUAAUUUAUGCAAGUCUCAUUUCUAGUAGACAAAGGCUAUUUGGCAAGAUAUUGACAAUUACUCUCACUAAUAAGCAACUAAAUUACAAUUUAGUAAUUUAAGUGCAGUGACAAAGUGAAUAAUUUACUAUGUGUAUAUUAAACUGAAAGUAAAAGUAUGAAUGUAACAUUAAAAUAAAAAUGUGAUUACUGACAUAUAAGAAGCACCCCAAUUUUAAAAAAAAUCACCUUCCGUGCAAUUGUGGCUCCACUAGAAGAAAUCAGUUUUUAUUUGCACUUCAUUUCCAAUGAAGUCAAGGUCAGUUUUGUCAUGGAAUAAUGGGUGCUGGAUUGAGCCCUAAAACAUUGCUAAUAGAAGAAGAAAAAGCACUGUCAACAUCUAUAAUAGCCAUGUGUUGUAUAUACGAAUCAUAAAAUCAUGUGGGACAGCAGAGAGAAUAGGAAUACUGUUCAGUGUUUACAAAGCUGCAUGUAUAACACAAUACAAUGGUCCAUGAGUGGGGUUCCUAGGCACUACCACAAUAUAAAUAACUACAGAAUACUAACAAGAUGUGACUGUUCUUAGUGUGCCCAGGAUUGGAUUCACUUUGUUCACCCACCCCCAAUGAGAAAGAGACACAGAUGUGCUUAAAUGGAUGUUAGCUCCCUGAGACCACCAGCCGUUUGGCGCGGCAAGCCUCGGAGGGAGGAGAAGCCAAACUGCAGCACGCUCGUGGGAGGAGGCAGAGCGGAGGCUGAAGACAUACAAUUGCUAAAUUGGUGAAGUCAUAGUAAUGUGGAGGGAGAUUACUGGAUCAUUUCUAAGGGGUGCAACAAAGGGAGAGAGCCAAGAAUCCCAGGACCACCCCACUUCGGCCAGCUGUGAGCAGAGACCCAGCAGCUGCCACUCCUUCCCUCAUGGCCAGGCCAGAGACAGAAGUGUCAGUGACCCUGUGGCUAGGGACCUGCCACCUGCACAGGAGGUAAUGGGCUGGGGUGCCUACAUCCCCACCCAACAGUGUCAAUGGGUGGGGAUGUAGUCAAAGUCAAUGAUCAACAUCCCCCUUUCAAGAUCCAUGGGUGCUACACAUGCCUAUCUCAACAUGUGGUAUACCUCAUCCAGUGCAUUAAAUGCCUCAAUAACUGUGUGGGUGAAACCAGACAAUCACUAUGCUCUUGAAUGAACUCACACACAAUGAUAAAAAACAAAAACACCAUAUCACCUGUGGGUGAACACUUUUCCCAAAGUGAUCACUCUAUAUCUGCACUAUCAAUCCUCAUCCUCAACUUUUGAAACUGUUUUGCAGAUUUCCUUUAAGUGUGAGAGCUUAAAUUCAUAACUUUGCUAGUCACUAAAAAUCAUGGUCUUAAUAAACACAUUGGAUUUAUGUCUUAUUACAGCAAUUGGUAACCCACUAACCCCACUUUUUGUCCUUUGACCACAAAGGUGUUGUUAAACCACUUCACCUUGAAUGGUCCCUUGGAAUAUGUGCUACCUACUUAUGUUAAACUAUCUAUUCAACCUUGUGUUUAGCUGUGAUGCUCUGAGUACCUUUCCCAGACCUAAGGAAGAGCUCUGUGUAGCUUGAAAGCCCGUCUCUCUCACCAACAGACGUUGGUCCAAUAAAA